GUGAACAAUGGGAGUCCCUCUUAACCAGAGAAGGCCCAGUCCACUAUUCACAAACACUCGUGCAACCGUCCCUUUUUACCUUUAACCCUUUUGCAUUUGAACAAGUCGUUGGGUUUAAACAAUGAUAAGAAAGAA
rnacentral:misc_RNA from 1 species